rnacentral:rRNA from 1 species
AGAACGAACGCUGGCGGCAGGCUUAACACAUGCAAGUCGAGCGCCCAGCAAUGGGAGCGGCGGACGGGUGAGUAACACGUGGGAACAUGCCCUUUGGUACGGAACAACUCAGGGAAACUUGAGCUAAUACCGUAUGUGCCGGUAACGGGAAAGAUUUAUCGCCAAAGGAUUGGCCCGCGUCCGAUUAGCUAGUUGGUGAGGUAACGGCCCACCAAGGCUCCGAUCGGUAGCUGGUUUGAGAGAACGACCAGCCACACUGGGACUGAGACACGGCCCAGACUCCUACGGGAGGCAGCAGUGGGGAAUCUUGGACAAUGGGGGAAACCCUGAUCCAGCCAUGCCGCGUGAGUGAUGAAGGCCUUCGGGUUGUAAAACUCUUUCGACGGGGACGAUAAUGACGGUACCCGUAGAAGAAGCUCCGGCUAACUUCGUGCCAGCAGCCGC